CCUCUAACCAGUAAAACUGAGCAGUCAUUUGGCAGCAGUCAAGAGUAUGGGCACUGGAGAAAGACCUUCAGCUUCAGACCAUAUCUCUAGGGAAUACAGUCUAAGACCCCCACUGGAUGUGUGAAACUACAGACGAGGACACUGAGCAUAAGAGCUGCAAUCAACCAGGCACAAUCUUCAAGUUGGAAGUACUGUAGCCAGGAUGCAGACCAAGUCUCUUAGUGUCCGGGGACAUUUGAUACUGCAGGAGUCUCAGAUUUAUUAAAAGACACGGCUGAUAGAACAAGUUAUGCAUCUGCUCCG
rnacentral:lncRNA from 1 species